rnacentral:rRNA from 1 species
AAGACCCCGUGAACCUUUACUAUAGCUUGACACUGAACAUUGAGCCUUGAUGUGUAGGAUAGGUGGGAGGCUUGGAAGUGUGGACGCCAGUCUGCAUGGAGCCGACCUUGAAAUACCACCCUUUAAUGUUUGAUGUUCUAACGUUGACCCGUGAUCCGGGUUGCGGACAGUGUCUGGUGGGUAGUUUGACUGGGGCGGUCUCCUCCUAAAGAGUAACGGAGGAGCACGAAGGUUGGCUAAUCCUGGUCGGACAUCAGGAGGUUAGUGCAAUGGCAUAAGCCAGCUUGACUGCGAGCGUGACGGCGCGAGCAGGUGCGAAAGCAGGUCAUAGUGAUCCGGUGGUUCUGAAUGGAAGGGCCAUCGCUCAACGGAUAAAAGGUACUCCGGGGAUAACAGGCUGAUACCGCCCAAGAGUUCAUAUCGACGGCGGUGUUUGGCACCUCGAUGUCGGCUCAUCACAUCCUGGGGCUGAAGUAGGUCCCAAGGGUAUGGCUGUUCGCCAUUUAAAGUGGUACGCGAGCUGGGUUUAGAACGUCGUGAGACAGUUCGGUCCCUAUCUGCCGUGGGCGCUGGAGAACUGAGGGGGGCUGCUCCUAGUACGAGAGGACCGGAGUGGACGCAUCACUGGUGUUCGGGUUGUCAUGCCAAUGGCACUGCCCGGUAGCUAAAUGCGGAAGAGAUAAGUGCUGAAAGCAUCUAAGCACGAAACUUGCCCCGAGAUGAGUUCUCCCUGACUCCUUGAGAGUCCUGAAGGAACGUUGAAGACGACGACGUUGAUAGGCCGGGUGUGUAAGCGCAGCGAUGCGUUGAGCUAACCGGUACUAAUGAACCGUGAGGCUUAACCUUACAACGCCGAAGCUGUU